UACGAAGGGUGCAAGCGUUACUCGGAAUUACUGGGCGUAAAGCGUGCGUAGGUGGUUUGUUAAGUCUGUUGUGAAAGCCCCGGGCUCAACCUGGGAAUGGCAAUGGAUACUGGCAAGCUAGAGUGCGGUAGAGGGUAGUGGAAUUCCCGGGUGUAGCGGUGAAAUGCGUAGAGAUCGGGAGGAACACCAGUGGCGAAGGCGGCAUCCUGG
rnacentral:rRNA from 1 species